GACUCGUUAGCGAAUGGCGCGCGCCUGCCCUCAAUCCAAAUUUGGAAUCAGGUGAGUUAUCUAGGCAGGAGGAACCCGGUUCGACUCCGGGACGAGUCA